UACGAGGGGGGCAAGCGUUGUUCGGAAUUAUUGGGCGUAAAGGGCGCGUAGGCGGUCUGACAAGUCUUGUGUGAAAUCUCUGGGCUCAACCCAGAGUCUGCAUAGGAAACUGUCGGGCUUGAGUAUGGGAGAGGUGAGUGGAAUUCCUGGUGUAGCGGUGAAAUGCGCAGAUAUCAGGAGGAACACCAAUGGCGAAGGCAGCUCGCUGGGACGUGACUGACGCUGAGACGCGAAAGCGUGGGGAGCAAACAGG
rnacentral:rRNA from 1 species